rnacentral:rRNA from 1 species
GUGAGGUAAGAGCCCACCAAGGCGAUGAUGGGUAGCCGGCCUGAGAGGGUGUACGGCCACACUGGGACUGAGAUACGGCCCAGACUCCUACGGGAGGCAGCAGCUAAGAAUAUUCCGCAAUGGACGAAAGUCUGACGGAGCGACGCCGCGUGGAUGAAGAAGGCCGAAAGGUUGUAAAGUUCUUUUGUUGGGGAAGAAUAACCAUGGGAGGGAAUGCCCGUGGGAUGACAUGAACCGACGAAUAAGCCCCGGCUAACUACGUGCCAGCAGCCGCGGUAACACGUAGGGGGCGAGCGUUGUUCGGAAUUACUGGGCGUAAAGGGCAUGUAGGCGGUCUUGUAAGCUUGGCGUGAAAGACCACGGCUCAACCGUGGGAUUGCGUUGAGAACUGCGAGGCUUGAGUGACGGAGAGGGAGCUAGAAUUCCUGGUGUAGGGGUGGAAUCUGUAGAGAUCAGGAAGAAUACCAAUGGCGAAGGCAAGCUCCUGGCCGAUGACUGACGCUGAGGUGCGAAAGUGUGGGGAUCAAACAGGAUUAGAUACCCUGGUAGUCCACACUGUAAACGAUGUGCACUAGGUGCUGGUACGGAUGUAUCAGUGCCGUAGCUAACG